GAUGAACGCUGGCGGCGUGCCUAAUACAUGCAAGUCGAGCGAACGGACGAGAAGCUUGCUUCUCUGAUGUUAGCGGCGGACGGGUGAGUAACACGUGGAUAACCUACCUAUAAGACUGGGAUAACUUCGGGAAACCGGAGCUAAUACCGGAUAAUAUUUUGAACCGCAUGGUUCAAAAGUGAAAGACGGUCUUGCUGUCACUUAUAGAUGGAUCCGCGCUGCAUUAGCUAGUUGGUAAGGUAACGGCUUACCACGGCAACGAUGCAUAGCCGACCUGAUAGGGUGAUCGGCCACACUGGAACGGAGACACGGUCCAGACUCCUACGGGAGGCAGCAGUAGGGAAUCGGACGCAAUGGGCGAAAGCCUGACGGAGCAACGCCGCGUGAGUGAUGAAGGUCUUCGGAUCGUAAAACUCUGUUAUUAGGGAAGAACAGAUGUGUAAGUAACUGUGCACAUCUUGACGGUACCUAAUCAGAAAGCCACGGCUAACUACGUG
rnacentral:rRNA from 1 species